CCCCAACCCCCUUGGUCAGGAGCAAGGCAGGCCGGCGGUGCGGGGUCCCACCUUGAACUCGGGACCGAGUCUCAGGAAGAUGCUGGUCUUCUUGUCCCACAGCAGCGUCAGGCCGGCGUCGGUGUUCACCACCAGGUCUGCUCUGAGGGACAUGACUGCUGCAUACUCAACGCAUGUGUUUCCUUCCGACCGAGUCCACGGCUGCCCUGGGACAGGCUGCUGAGCAGCACGCCCUUGGCCGCACAGGCCCGCACGUAGGAGGACAGCGCCGCACACAGACAGUCCUCGCUCUUCUCACAGUUGCACGUGUCGAACAGGCAGUUCUGGGGACGGGGCGGCCGGUUACCGUCAGGGACCCCAGCCCACACAUGGC
rnacentral:lncRNA from 1 species